UAGCUGAAACGAUGUUUGGGCAGUGGUUUGGUGAAAAAAUGUUGGCAAUGUGCUGAUGCAACUGAACAAACUUGAUCACCAUAGCUCCCUAGAUAACUUUCUCGCGGAUAAAAUGGUAAUCAAGCUCGACAUGCUUCAUACGAGUGUGCAACACUGGAUUAGCUGAUACAUGCAAGGCACUAAUGCUGUAUGUGAACAACAUGGGGGGUUGAGGCAGGGAAAUGCCAAUGUCUCACAAUAAGUAACUGAUCCAAGUUAAGUCGGCAGCUAAAGAGACCAACGAGCGAUAUUCAGCUUUGGCACUUGACUUGGCUACACUGUGUUGCUUCUUUGAUUACCAGA
rnacentral:misc_RNA from 1 species